rnacentral:rRNA from 3 species
UUUAUCGGAGAGUUUGAUCCUGGCUCAGGACGAACGCUGGCGGCGUGCCUAAUACAUGCAAGUCGAGCGGACAGAU